rnacentral:rRNA from 1 species
UGCAGCAACGCCGCGUGAGGGACGACGGCCUUCGGGUUGUAAACCUCUUUUAGCAGGGAAGAAGCGAAAGUGACGGUACCUGCAGAAAAAGCGCCGGCUAACUACGUGCCAGCAGCCGCGGUAAUACGUAGGGCGCAAGCGUUAUCCGGAAUUAUUGGGCGUAAAGAGCUCGUAGGCGGUUUGUCGCGUCUGCUGUGAAAUCCGGAGGCUCAACCUCCGGCCUGCAGUGGGUACGGGCAGACUAGAGUGCGGUAGGGGAGAUUGGAAUUCCUGGUGUAGCGGUGGAAUGCGCAGAUAUCAGGAGGAACACCGAUGGCGAAGGCAGAUCUCUGGGCCGUAACUGACGCUGAGGAGCGAAAGGGUGGGGAGCAAACAGGAUUAGAUACCCUG